rnacentral:rRNA from 1 species
AAUGGGGGCAACCUUGAUCUAGCCAUGCCGCGUGAGUGAUGAAGGCCUUAGGGUCGUAAAGCUCUUUCGCCUGUGAUGAUAAUGACAGUAGCAGGUAAAGAAACCCCGGCUAACUCCGUGCCAGCAGCCGCGGUAAUACGGAGGGGGUUAGCGUUGUUCGGAAUUACUGGGCGUAAAGCGCGCGUAGGCGGAUUAGAAAGUUGGGGGUGAAAUCCCGGGGCUCAACCCCGGAACUGCCUCCAAAACUGCUAGUCUAGAGUUCGAGAGAGGUGAGUGGAAUUCCGAGUGUAGAGGUGAAAUUCGUAGAUAUUCGGAGGAACACCAGUGGCGAAGGCGGCUCACUGGCUCGAUACUGACGCUGAGGUGCGAAAGUGUGGGGAGCAAACAGGAUU